rnacentral:lncRNA from 1 species
AUUUGUAAGGGUAAAAGCCAUGCUUCCGACUUGAUUCCAUGCCUCAAAAACCAUCUGGAGAAAGAGAGGGUGUUUGGUGAGGUAGUUAAAGAACUUGAAAGGUUUGGUUCCGGCUAGUGGUAGAGGGUGAGCUAGGUCUAGGAGACAGGGGCAGUGAUCAGACAUUUCAGGAGGGUGGAAGGUUGCUGUGCUGUUGGGGAAGAGAGAGAUAGCGUGUGAGUUAACCAGGAGGCGAUCAAGUUUCUUUGCUAUUGGGCUUUCAGGUUGAUGGUUGGUCCAA